GCGCCCCUCCCCCAGCCUCCCUGCCGCCUUGCAGUUUGAUCUCAGACUGCUGUGCUAGCAAUCAGCGGGACUCCGUGGGCGUAGGGGCCUCCGAGCCACGUGCGGGAUAUAAUCUCGUGGUGAGCCAUUUUUUAAGCCCGUCGGAAAAGCGCAGUAUUCGGGUGGGAGUGACCCGAUUUUCCAGGUGCCGUCCGUCACCCCUUUCUUUGACUCGGAAAGGGAACUCCCUGACCCCUUGCGCUUCCCAGGUGAGGCAAUGCCUCGCCCUGCUUCGGCUGGCGCACGGUGCGCGCACCCACUGACCUGCGCCCACUGUCUGGCACUCCCUAGUGAGAUGAACCCGGUACCUCAGAUGGAAAUGCAGAAAUCACCGUCUUCUGCGUCGCUCACGCUGGGAGCUGUAGACCGGAGCUGUUCCUAUUCGGCCAUCUUGCGCAUUUUAAAAUUUUAAAGGCUGGAUAUGUGGUUACAGAUGGCAGCUAAGGAGCCAGAGUUGUGAAUGUUCCGUGAUGGCAAAGAUUUCUGUCUGUUCUGUUAACUACUGCAUCCCUGAGAGCUGAAACACUGCCUGGUAUGUAGUUAGAGCUCAGUAAAUAUUUAUUGAAAGAUCUUCUUGGUAUUGAUUUCUAUUUUUAUUACACUGUGAUCUGAGAGCAUGCUUUGCAUGAUUUCCAUUUUUUAAAAAAAUUUAUUGAGGCUUGCUUUACGACCAAGCACGUGGUUGAUCUUAGAAUAUGUUUCGUGAGAAGAAUGUAUAUUUUGUGGUUGUUGGGUGAGGUGUUAUGUAGAUGUCUAUUAGGUCCAAUUGGUCAAGUGUCAAGUUUAAGUUCAGAGUUUCUUUGUUAGUUUUCUACCUCGAGAUCUGUCUAAUGCUGUCAGUGGGGUGUUGAAGUCUCCCACUAUUAUUGUGUGGUGGUCUACGUCUUUUUGUAGGCCAAAAAGAACUUAUUUUAUGAUAUGAGUUUCCAAUGUUUGGUGCGUAUAUGUUUAGGAUAGUUAAGGCUUCUUGUUUGAUUGUAUACUUUAUCAUUGUGUAAUGCCCUUCAUUAUGUUUACUGGUUUAAAGUCUGUUUUAUCUGAUAUAAGAAUAGUUAUUCUUGCUCUUGUUUGUUUUCUGUUUGUAUGGUAAAUCUUACUCCAUCCUUUUAUUUUGAGCCUCUGGGUAUGGAUACAUGUGAGUUGGGUCUCUUGAUGAUGACAGAUGGUUGGGUCUUGUUUUUUUUUAAUCCAGGCUGCCACUCUGUGUCUUUUAAAUGGGGUUUUUAACCCAUUUACAUUUAAGAUUAGUAUUAAUAUGUGUGAUUUUGAUCCUUUUAUUGUGUUGUGGAUAUGUGCUUAAGUGUGCUUUUCGAAAGCAAGUGCUAUUCUUUUAAAUUCAUGUUUGGCACUCCCUUAAGGAUUUCUUAUAAGCAUUUGCUUGUCUAAGAAUGAUUUCAUUUCUAAUUUGCUUAUGAAGCAAGUUUGGUGUAAUAUCUCAAAACUACACAAAUACAUGAAAAUUAAACAACCUACUCUGGAAUAACUCUUGAGUGAACAUCAAAAUUAAGGCAGAAAUAAAAAAAUUUAAAUUAAUGAAAAUAGGAACACAAUUUACUAAAGUCUCUAAGAUACAACCAAAGCAGUGUUAAAAGGAAAGUUUAUAGCACUAAAAUGCCUUUAUCAAGAAGUUGUAAGGAUUUUAAAUUAACAAUCUAACUUUUUACCUAAAGGAAUUAUAGUAAAAUGCCAACCUAAAAGCUAGCAGAGGAAAAGAAGUAAUUAAAAUUAGGAAAGAAUUUAAUGAAAUUGAGAUUUAAAAAAUCCAUAGCGAAAAAAGUCUAUGAAAUCAACAGUUCUUCAAUAAAAACAAAUAAGAUUGAUAGACCACUAGCUAGAUUAACAAAGAAAAAGAAAGAUAAAAUCCAAAUAAGCACAAUCAGAAUCAACAAAGGUUGUAUGACAAUUGAUUCCACAGAAAUACAAAAGAUCCUCAGAGACUACCAUGAAUAACUCUAUGCACACAAAUUAGAAAAUUUAGGGAAAAUGGAAAAAUUCCUGAAAGUGUACAAUCUCCCAAAAUUGCAUCAGGAAGAGAUUGAAAUCCUAAGUAGACCAAUAUCAGCUUCUGAAAUUAAAU